ACGAACGCUGGCGGCGUGCUUCACACAUGCCAGUCGCACGGAAAGGCCCUGCUUUUGUGGGGUGCUCGAGUGGCGAACGGGUGAGUAACACGUGAGUAACCUGCCCUUGACUUUGGGAUAACUUCAGGAAACUGGGGCUAAUACCGGAUAGGAGCUCCUGCUGCAUGGUGGGGGUUGGAAAGUUUCGGCGGUUGGGGAUGGACUCGCGGCUUAUCAGCUUGUUGGUGGGGUAGUGGCUUACCAAGGCUUUGACGGGUAGCCGGCCUGAGAGGGUGACCGGCCACAUUGGGACUGAGAUACGGCCCAGACUCCUACGGGAGGCAGCAGUGGGGAAUAUUGCACAAUGGGCGGAAGCCUGAUGCAGCAACGCCGCGUGCGGGAUGACGGCCUUCGGGUUGUAAACCGCUUUCGCCUGUGACGAAGCGUGAGUGACGGUAAUGGGUAAGGAAGCACCGGCUAACUACGUG
rnacentral:rRNA from 1 species